AAUAUUGGUCAAUGGAGGCAACUCUGAACCAGCCAAGCCGCGUGAAGGAUGACUGCCCUACGUGUUGUAAACUUCUUUCUUAAGGGAAUAAAGUGAGCCACGUACGGCUUUGUGCAUGUACUUUACGAAUAAGGAUCGGCUAACUCCGUGCCAGCAGCCGCGGUAAUACGGAGGAUCCGUGCGUUAUUCGGAUUUAUUCGGUUUAAAUGGGGCGCAGGCGAAAUAGUAAGUUGGCGGUGAAAGUUUGCAGCUUAACUGUAAAAUUGCCGUUGAUACUGGUAUUCUUGAGUGGAUAUGAAGUAGGCGGAAUUUGCAGUGUAGCGGUGAAAUGCAUAGAUAUUACAAGGAACUCCGAUUGCGAAGGCGGCUUACUAAAAUACAACUGACGCUUAGGCACGAAGGCGUGGGGAUCAAACA
rnacentral:rRNA from 1 species